rnacentral:rRNA from 1 species
UACGUAGGUGGCAAGCGUUCUCCGGAAUUACUGGGCGUAAAGCGCACGCAGGCGGUCUUUUAAGUUUGACGUGAAAGCUCCCGGCUUAACUGGGAGAGGUCGUUGAAGACUGGAAGACUUGAGGCAAUGAGAGGGGUGUAGAAUUCCCGGUGUAGUGGUGGAAUGCGUAGAUAUCGGGGGGAAUACCAGUGGCGAAAGCGGCACCCUAGCGUUAGCCUGACGCUCAUGUGCGAAAGCGUGGGGAGCGAACGGG